CUGUAGUGCCUUGCAGUGUUAGCUGUUCAGUGGUGAAAAUGGAGAAAUGGGAAUAUCUUCCUUUUUUAAUGAAAAAAUACUAUAAGGAUCACAUAUGAAAGCAUCAGUUAAUUUUAAACUUCAAUGAACAGGUAUCAGAAAGAAGAUGUUAGCAUGGAAUAAAUAUGAACGUCAUUCCAUAUGCUAAAUGCUCGUCACUGUGGAGCUCCUGGAAGCAUUUGCAAUGGAAAUGGAGACAGCUUGACAUGAUCAUAAACCACACUACUGGAAGAAAGUAUGGGGAGAGCACAAGCAGAGAUAACAGAGGUGCCACACAUCCAGGCCUCUGCUUGCCACUUUCCCCCUUGACUGGGGAACUGGAAGAACAUCCACCUAAUAAUAGGGGUGUGGACUGA
rnacentral:lncRNA from 1 species